rnacentral:rRNA from 1 species
GAAUGCUGACAUAAGUAACGAUAAAGCGGGUGAAAAGCCCGCUCGCCGGAAGACCAAGGGUUCCUGUCCAACGUUAAUCGGGGCAGGGUGAGUCGACCCCUAAGGCGAGGCCGAAAGGCGUAGUCGAUGGGAAACAGGUUAAUAUUCCUGUACUUGGUGUUACUGCGAAGGGGGGACGGAGAAGGCUAUGUUGGCCGGGCGACGGUUGUCCCGGUUUAAGCGUGUAGGCUGGUUUUCCAGGCAAAUCCGGAAAACCAAGGCUGAGGCGUGAUGACGAGGCACUACGGUGCUGAAGCGACAAAUGCCCUGCUUCCAGGAAAAGCCUCUAAGCAUCAGGUAACAUCAAAUCGUACCCCAAACCGACACAGGUGGUCAGGUAGAGAAUACCAAGGCGCUUGAGAGAACUCGGGUGAAGGAACUAGGCAAAAUGGUGCCGUAACUUCGGGAGAAGGCACGCUGAUAUGUAGGUGAAGCGACUUGCUCGUGGAGCUGAAAUCAGUCGAAG